rnacentral:rRNA from 1 species
CGUGUAGGCGGCCGACCAAGUCGGGUGUGAAAGCCCUCGGCUCAACCGAGGAAUUGCACUCGAUACUGAUUGGCUAGAGUCCGGGAGGGGGUAGCGGAAUUCCCAGUGUAGCGGUGAAAUGCGUAGAUAUUGGGAAGAACACCAGUGGCGAAGGCGGCUACCUGGACCGGAACUGACGCUGAGGCGCGAAAGCUAGGGGAGCGAACAGGAUUAGAUACCCUGGUAGUCC